UACGAAGGGGGCUAGCGUUGCUCGGAAUUACUGGGCGUAAAGGGCGCGUAGGCGGCACGGACAGUCAGGCGUGAAAUUCCUGGGCUUAACCUGGGGGCUGCGCUUGAUACGUUCGAGCUAGAGGAUGGAAGAGGCUCGUGGAAUUCCCAGUGUAGAGGUGAAAUUCGUAGAUAUUGGGAAGAACACCGGUGGCGAAGGCGGGUCUCUGGGCCGAUACUGACGCUGAGGAGCGAAAGCGUGGGGAGCGAACAGG
rnacentral:rRNA from 1 species